AUCAGGCAUUGACCAUCGUCACUAUGGAACAGUCUAAAUAAGCACCUGCAUGUAUGAGGUCGUGGUUUUCAGCCAGGGAGUGGAGGAUAGAACAAACUCGGCCUGGAGUGAGUAUCCGCCCAAAUGGACACAGUUCAAGUCCAUACUUCCUCUUAAGACCGAAGUUGAGGCUGCCAGACAAUUUUCAGAUGCACUCCUCGUUAGUAUAGUGGACAGUAUCUCUGCUUGUCACGCAGAAGACCAGGGUUCAAUUCCCUGACGGGGAGCUUCUUUUCAAAAGGCAACUACAAACUGUUCACUCUCCUUGGCUUCUCCUGUCCUAUGCAACACAACUCAUGCUGAUUAACACUAUAUUACUACUGAAACUACAGGUCCUGAACAGACUGUUGCUAAAAGCAUGACUCCAGAUAGUCACACUUCUGUCACUUAGCAAAAGUGUGACAAUAUUGUCAAAGAAGUGCUGAAUCAAACGAAUGCAUGCAGGAGGACAUCUCUCAGAUGAUGCCAAUCGGUUGGCUUCAUUAGUGGCCUUAUGCGCAGCCUGGAAGAGCUGUCCUUUUAUUGACCAGUUGCAAGAAGAUCCACUGCUGCAGAGAAGGCAGGACAAAUGGACAGUGUUUCCGCCCAGUUUCAAACUGGGGACCUUUCCUAUGUUAGGCGAACGUGAUACCACCGCUACACUAAAGAAACGUUUGCUCAAUCCACAACUGGUAUUGCUCUUUUGUCUUUGCAGAAGUACUUUGGAGAAGGUCUUGAACUAACAAAUUCAUCAGGCAUUGACCAUCAUCACUAUGGAACAGUCUAAAUAAGCACCUGCAUGUAGGAGGUUGUGGUUUUCAGCCAGGGAGUGGAGGAUAGAACAAACUCGGCCUGGAGUGAGUAUCCGCCCAAAUGGACACAGUUCAAGUCCAUACUUCCUCUUAAGACCGAAGUUGAGGCUGCCAGACAAUUUUCAGAUGCACUCCUCGUUAGUAUAGUGGACAGUAUCUCUGCUUGUCACGCAGAAGACCAGGGUUCGAUUCCCUGACGGGGAGCGUCUUUUCAAAAGGCAACCACAAACUGUUCACUCACCUUGGCUUCUCCUGUCCUAUGCAACACAACUCAUGCUGAUUAACACUAUAUUACUACUGAAACUACAGGUCCUGAACAGACUGUUGCUAAAAGCAUGACUCCAGAUUGUCACACUUCUGUCACUU
ensembl:lncRNA